UACGUAGGGUGCGAGCGUUGUCCGGAAUUACUGGGUGUAAAGGGUGCGCAGGCGGGUCUGUUUGUCGGAGGUUAAAGACCUCGGCUUAACCGAGGGAGUGCCUUCGAAACGGCAGAUCUUGAAUAUGAGAGAGGAUGAUAGAAUUCCUGGUGUAGCGGUGAAAUGCGUAGAUAUCAGGAGGAAUACCAGUGGCGAAGGCGGUCAUCUGGCUCAUCAUUGACGCUCAGGCACGAAAGCGUGGGUAGCGAACAGG
rnacentral:rRNA from 1 species